GACGAACGCUGGCGGCGUGCUUAACACAAGCAAGUCGAACGGAAAGGCCCUGCUUUUGUGGGGUGCUCGAGUGGCGAACGGGUGAGUAACACGUGAGUAACCUGCCCUUGACUUUGGGAUAACUUCAGGAAACUGGGGCUAAUACCGGAUAGGAGCUCCUGCUGCAUGGUGGGGGUUGGAAAGUUUCGGCGGUUGGGGAUGGACUCGCGGCUUAUCAGCUUGUUGGUGGGGUAGUGGCUUACCAAGGCUUUGACGGGUAGCCGGCCUGAGAGGGUGACCGGCCACAUUGGGACUGAGAUACGGCCCAGACUCCUACGGGAGGCAGCAGUGGGGAAUAUUGCACAAUGGGCGGAAGCCUGAUGCAGCAACGCCGCGUGCGGGAUGACGGCCUUCGGGUUGUAAACCGCUUUCGCCUGUGACGAAGCGUGAGUGACGGUAAUGGGUAAAGAAGCACCGGCUAACUACGUG
rnacentral:rRNA from 1 species